rnacentral:rRNA from 1 species
UACGAAGGGGGCUAGCGUUGCUCGGAAUCACUGGGCGUAAAGGGUGCGUAGGCGGGUUUUUAAGUCAGGGGUGAAAUCCUGGAGCUCAACUCCAGAACUGCCUUUGAUACUGAGAAGCUUGAGUCCGGGAGAGGUGAGUGGAACUGCGAGUGUAGAGGUGAAAUUCGUAGAUAUUCGCAAGAACACCAGUGGCGAAGGCGGCUCACUGGCCCGGUACUGACGCUGAGGUGCGAAAGCGUGGGGAGCAAACAGG